rnacentral:rRNA from 1 species
AUUGAACGCUGGCGGCAGGCCUAACACAUGCAAGUCGAACGGUAACAGGAAGCAGCUUGCUGCUUUGCUGACGAGUGGCGGACGAGUGAGUAAUGUCUGGGAAACUGCCUGAUGGAGGGGGAUAACUACUGGAAACGGUAGCUAAUACCGCAUAACGUCGCAAGACCAAAGAGGGGGACCUUCGGGCCUCUUGCCAUCGGAUGUGCCCAGAUGGGAUUAGCUAGUAGGUGGGGUAACGGCUCACCUAGGCGACGAUCCCUAGCUGGUCUGAGAGGAUGACCAGCCACACUGGAACUGAGACACGGUCCAGACUCCUACGGGAGGCAGCAGUGGGGAAUAUUGCACAAUGGGCGCAAGCCUGAUGCAGCCAUGCCGCGUGUAUGAAGAAGGCCUUCGGGUUGUAAAGUACUUUCAGCGGGGAGGAAGGGAGUAAAGUUAAUACCUUUGCUCAUUGACGUUACCCGCAGAAGAAGCACCGGCUAACUCCGUG